GACAGAGGUGCCAAGCGUUAGGCGGAAUCACUGGGCUUAAAGCGUGUGUAGGCGGGUCUCUAAGUGCCUUGUGAAAUCCCACGGCUCAACCGUGGAACUGCUGGGCAUACUGGAGGUCUUGAGCCACCUAGGGGCGAGCGGAACGAAUGGUGGAGCGGUGAAAUGCGUAGAUAUCAUUCGGAACGCCAACGGUGAAAACAGCUCGCUGGGGGUGUGCUGACGCUGAGACACGAAAGCCAGGGGAUCAAACGGG
rnacentral:rRNA from 1 species